rnacentral:rRNA from 1 species
AGCUCCAAUAGCGUAUAUUAAAGUUGUUGCAGUUAAAAAGCUCGUAGUUGAACCUUGGGUCUGGCUGGCCGGUCCGCCUCACCGCGAGUACUGGUCCGGCUGGACCUUUCCUUCUGGGGAACCUCAUGGCCUUCACUGGCUGUGGGGGGAACCAGGACUUUUACUGUGAAAAAAUUAGAGUGUUCAAAGCAGGCCUUUGCUCGAAUACAUUAGCAUGGAAUAAUAGAAUAGGACGUGUGGUUCUAUUUUGUUGGUUUCUAGGACCGCCGUAAUGAUUAAUAGGGAUAGUCGGGGGCGUCAGUAUUCAGCUGUCAGAGGUGAAAUUCUUGGAUUUGCUGAAGACUAACUACUGCGAAAGCAUUCGCCAAGGAUGUUUUCAUUAAUCAGGGAACGAAAGUUAGGGGAUCGAAGACGAUCAGAUACCGUCGUAGUCUUAACCAUAAACUAUGCCGACUAGGGAUCGGACGGGAUUCUAUAAUGACCCGUUCGGCACCUUACGAGAAAUCAAAGUUUUUGGGUUCUGGGGGGAGUAUGGUCGCAAGGCUGAAACUUAAAGAAAUUGACGGAAGGGCACCACAAGGCGUGGAGCCUGCGGCUUAA